GAAAAGAACAAAGUUUUGUUCAUCUUUGUUCAUCAUAGCGCAAAGUUAGAGAAGAGAAAGGAGAGGAGAAAGCUCUUGAAUGUUCGGUCACUUGGGGAAGAAAAUUGAAGGUAAGUUCAUGGUAGUUUGCUUCUAUCUUGAGGUUCAUGAGUUCUUCUUGAUUCUACCUUAACUCUUGAAGCAUAUUUUGGUUUUUAGUUGUGUUGUGAGCAUUUAGUCAUGAAUUAAAAUGAAGGAAAUGGUUGUUGUUUCAUGUUCUUUUGAUGAAAAAUGGAAGAUAGGUGAAGUUGAGCCAAACAAAUGAGCAUGCAUGUGCCUUAGAUGCUAAAGGGAAAAAUCGGCUAACAUGUUAUGCUUUAAAAUGAUGAAAUGGAGAUUAUACUUAAGUAAAAUCAUAGAUAUGUGAUGAUUGAUUGGUGAUAUACAUGUUUAAAUAACAUGCAUGCAAGGUAUGUGUGAAAGAGUGAUUUGGUAAUAAAUAUGCUUGGGACAGCAGCAGUAACGUGACUUUGGAAAAUCACCAUAAAUUGUGAGAGAUGAAUUAGAAGCUGAAUAAAUUAUGUAAUUAAAUCUUAAUGAGUCUAGUUUCAAAUGAAAUAGACGAGAACAUAUUUUGAAUUCUGUACAAUGAGAAAUUUGAUUUGUAAUGAAGAGUGGUCAGAUUAGUCAAACAGUGAAACAUGCGAAACUUUGAGAAAAAUAUGGUAUUGAUUGGAUAAACCAAAAAUUCUGAAAAUUUUAUGGAUAUAAUAUAUAUGAGUCUAUUUUCAGGUAAAAUUAACGGCACUUGAUUUGGAGUUUUGUAGCUCCAGUUAUAAAUGAUUUAGUGACUAUUGCUCAGGAAGACAGCUUGCAGUGAAAUUAUGAUUAUGUGGUAAACACUGACAAAAAUUUGUUAAUGAGUUGCUUAUUGAUUUCUUAUAAGCUUACUCUGAUCUGUAGGUGUGGAUGGCCGAAUAUUGUAAGGGGUUAAUACGUAUUUCUUAUUUGAAUAGUUAGAUUAAUGUGUUAGUAAUCCAAUUGUAGGCAGUUCGUGUGUGGAUCUCGUCAGCAUAUCGUCGCAAACAGAUGUGUAACUAACACCUUCUUUCUUAGUCUGGAUCGGUAAAAGUCGAAAAUCCGAAAUGCCGAAAACCGGUAUUUUGUAGAUUUGCGAGUGUGCGAAUGCUCGUGAGGUAAAUCGAUUAAUGUUUUUGGUAAGCUGCAAAAUUUGGACUGCAAAGUGCAUGAUUUCUGUGCCCUCGAUAUUUUUGGGCUUAAUGGGCCAAAAAUUGGAAUGAUGGGCCAACGGGCCCAAUUCGGUAAGAACCCUCAGUGCGUGAUUCUGUUAGUACGUAAGAAGUAGGAAUAUGCAUGAAAAACCCUAAAAUAGAUAAAUUACUGAAAUACCUUUAAAAGUGGAAAAUUUAUAGUUUUACCCCUAAUAGAUAAAUUACCGAAAUACCCCUACGGUUAAAUUGACCUAAAUGCAUGUUUGACUAUUGUUAAUUACUGCAUGCCAUGUUGUUAUUAUCUGAUGCAUGGGAUUGGGAUAUUGACGGAGGAAGUACUAAAAGUGGCUUGUCCACGUACUGGAGGCUUUGCCUCAAUUUACUGUUAACUGAGCAGCAAGGCUGCAACUGUGGAGUGUUGGGCUAGGUGGGUUGAGCUAUUCCACACAUGGAGUGUAAGGCUGGUACGGGUGGAGUGUAGUGGUUGGUGGGUUGAGUAGUCUCCCCAAAUGGGCUUGAAUAUGUUAUUGAUGUUGCAUGUAUUUUGAAAUGGGCCUAUAGGCCAUACUGUUAUCUGAAUAAGGGGCUAAGGCCCAGUUUAUUGUAAUCUGAAAAGGGCUCUGGUCCAGUACCACUGUUACUUGAAUGGGCGUAGGCCCAAUAGGCUUGAGCUGACUUGGGCUUUGAAUGGGUUUUCCUUACACACUGAGUUUCCCCAAACUCACCCCUUUUAUUUUCAUCCACGCAGGAAAUCCCCAACCGUAGUGGGCUUGGAGCUGUGAGGGAAAUCGGAGUGGCCACCCGUUCUGAAAGUUUGGUUUUCUUCUGGUGAACUGGACAUCCUUUUAUUUACGUUUGAAGUUUUGGGAUUUUAAAUGUAAUAAGGCCGCUUAAUUAUUUUUGAUGGUUUUAAUAUGUAUUGCUAAGAUAGGUAUUACUUAUUUUAACUGUUGAAAUUGGAUAGCUUUAGGGCGCGUUUUCAAAAAUAACAAUUGAUUUCAAAAUAACAUGACAACAAGCAAAGCUUCCGUAAUGAAAGUAUUUUCCAAAAUUAAUCCCUUUUCCUAAAAAUGACAUAAUCAAAUCGGUUUCCUAGAAAUAUCCAUGACGUUAAGGUGUGGCAAUGGCGGUAUGCAUGUCUAGGAUUGGAUCCGAAAUGAGCUUGGUACUUAAGCAGUCCGAUGGACUCACCACCUCUUUUUCAGUUUCCUACCUGGUGCACAGCUUCCAUGCACUUUAACCUAUAAUGAAAUUAUCUUUUAAAACACUAAGUAGGUUUUUCUGGAUCAACAAUAUAAAAUAUUUUGAACGCUUCGAUGUGGCAUGUCGGAUCCGGCCAUAACGUCUGGGCCGGGUUUGGGGUGUUACAUUCAGUGGUAUCAGAGCUUAGGUUGCAAUAACUCGGCUGUGGAAUGGGUUUACAAAAAUAAAGAUUUUCAAAAAAAAUUAUAAAGAUUACAAAAAACGCGAUUUUCAAAAUUUAGAUCUUUAGUAGGUGGCAUUCCGAAUCUUCGGCUCAAGUCUAUAAGUAUUCUGAAUAUUUCUGAAUAUUUUCCUGAAUUAUCUGUCUGUACUAAAAUCCUGCUAGGAUACUCUAGAUAGGAUGAUACUGAAACCAUAGGAAAAUUUGAUAAGAGAUCGAAACUGUAGCUAGACUCCGAUUCUACGAAAACAAACUCUGAAUUAUUGUCUGAUUCAUAAAACAUCCGUAAUAAACACUGGAAUAUUGAAUUAAUGCAUAAAAAUUCGUAAUCAGAUAAUACAAUAUGAGUACAAGAGCCGCUCAUGGAAGAGGCUGUGGACGAGGCCGAGGUAGUACUCAUGUUGGAUCUUCGUCUUCUGAACACAUACCCGCUGGAGUGGCACGACCACCAUCGGUGGAUGAGAAUGGGCCGUAUGAUCAGGCCGCGGAGGAUGAUGCCCUGUCACAGGCAAUACUUCGUGUUCUGGAAAGGGUUGCCGGGGCAAGUACGGGCAAUGGAGUUCGGGGAUCUAUUUCUGAACGACUUCGGGCUAGCGGAGCGGAAAUCUUUAAGGGUGUGUCUGGUAUCGCCUCGAAUGUGGCAGAAUAUUGAUUGGAGGCCACAAAACGGAUUAUGGACAACUUGGACUGCUCUGAGGAGAUUGUGAGUGGGGUAUCUGUACUAAGUACUUUGGGUCACUCAGUUAGGGUAGACAAACUGUAUAGGGAUGUACCCUUAGAAACUCAAGGUAGGAUUUUCCCUAGAGAUCUGAUGGAGUUACCGUUCGGAGAGUUUGAUCUCAUUUUGGGAAUGGACUGGUUUGUUAAGCAUAAGGUGACCCUGGAUUGUGCUGCUAAACGAAUGGUGUUAUGGAUCACAAAGGAUGAGGAGGUUAUGGUGAUAGGUGAGCUAAGGGAUUAUUUGUCCAAUGUGGUGUCGGCAUUAAGAGUCGAGAAGUGGAUUCGGAAAGGUUGUGAGGCCUAUUUGGCAUUUGUAAGUCUGUCGGAAGAGGAGGGACUGACAGUGGAUAAGGUUAGGACUGUAAAGGAGUUCCAAGAUGUUUUUUUAGAGGAGCUUCCAGGAUUGCCUCCGAACCGAGAAGUGGAGUUUGGAAUCGACUUAUUACCUGGAACGGCACCAGUGUCUAUCUCACCGUAUAGAAUGGCACCGAAGGAGUUGGUGGAGCUAAAGGCACAAAUUCAAGAGUUGUUGGAUAGGGGCUUCAUUAGGCCAAGCGUGUCUCCAUGGGGAGCACCGGUGCUAUUCGUGAAAAAGAAGGAUGGUACGAUGCGGAUGUGCAUUGAUUAUCGCCAGUUGAACAAACUGACGAUUAAGAAAUCCACUGCCAAGGAUUGAUGAUCUGUUCGACCAGCUUAGAGGAGCUUCUAUAUUUUCCAAGAUCGACCUUCGAUCUGGAUAUCAUCAGUUAAGGGUCAAGGAGGUAGAUAUCCAUAAGACAGCAUUUAGUACUCGGUAUGGUCAUUACGAGUUUCUGGUUAUGCCAUUUGGACUGACCAACGCUCCUGCAGCGUUUAUGGAUCUGAUGAAUCAUGUGUUCCAACCAUUUUUAGAUCAGUUCGUAGUCGUCUUUAUUGAUGAUAUCCUGGUAUAUUCUGAAACUGAAGCGAAACAUGAUGAGCAUCUCCGUAUAGUGCUGCGAGUGUUAAAAGAGAAGGAACUCUGCGCAAAGUUCAGCAAGUGUGAAUUUUGGUUGAGGGAGGUAACCUUCUUAGGACAUGUGGUCUCUGCCAAAGGGAUUAAGAUGGACCCUCGAAAGAUUGAAGCAAUUUUGGAGUGGAAGCCACCUAGGACGGCGUCGAAAAUUCGAAGCUUCCUAGGGUUGGCAGGAUACUACAGAAGGUUUGUGGAAGGUUUUUCAGUGAUGGCAGCACCUCUGACAAAACUCAUAAGGAAAGGGGUACCGUUUGUAUGGACUGAGAAGCAGCAGGAAGCUUUUGAGAAGUUGAAGAAAGUUCUGACUGAAGCACCUGUGUUGAUUCAGCCGGAGUUUGGGAAGGAUUUUACUGUGUACAGUGACGCAUCACACGUGGGUUUGGGCUGCGUGUUAAUGCAGGAGGGUAAGGUGGUUGCAUAUACAUCACGAUAGCUUAAACCUCACGAAGGGAACUAUCCUACUCAUGAUAGGGAGUUGGCGGCAGUGAUAUUUGCACUUAAGAUUUGGAGACAUUACUUGUACGGGGAGAGGUGUAUUAUAUACACAGACCACAAGAGUCUUAAGUAUUUGUUGACUCAGAAGGAGCUGAACCUUAGGCAAAGGAGAUGGAUUGAGUUACUUAAGGAUUAUGACUGUUCGAUCGAGUAUCACCCAGGCAAGGCUAAUGUGGUAGCCGAUGCUUUAAGUCGUAGAAUCGUAUCUGAUCUGAGAGCAAUGUUUGCUCGUUUGAGUCUAUAUGAUGAUGGCAGUUUGUUGGCUGAAUUGCAAGUAAGGCCAACCUGGGUGGACCAGAUUAAGGAAAAGCAAUUAGAAGAUGAGUCUUUGGUUGCUCAUUUUCAACAAGUUAAGGAAGGGGAAACUUCUGAGUUCGGUUUAAAUGGUGAUGGAGUUUUGUGUUUUCGAGGAAGAAUUUGUGUUCCGAGGGACUCUGAUUUGACGCAGACAAUAUUGAAGGAAGCUCAUGGGGGACUAUGUGCCAUGCAUCCUGGAGGGAAUAAGUUGUAUCACGACUUACAAGAAUUGUACUGGUGGCCUGGACUUAAACGAGAAGUAACGGAGUUUGUAGAGAAAUGUCUGACAUGCCAGCAAGUGAAAGCUGAGCAUCAAUUACCCUCUGGACAGUUACAGUCAGUGAAGAUAUCACUUUGGAAGUGGGAGAGGGUAACCAUGGACUUUGUGAGUGGGCUGCCCUUGACACCAUCAAAGAAAGACUCCGUGUGGGUGAUUGUGGAUAGGUUGACCAAAUCAGCCCAUUUCAUACCUGUUCGUACUGACUUUUCACUUCAAAACUUAGCCAAGUUGUAUGUGGCGGAGAUUGUGCGAAUUCAUGGAGUCCCAGUUCAAUUAUUUCUAAUCGGGAUCCUAGAUUUACAUCUCGGUUUUGGCAAAGGUUGCAUGAGGCGUUGGGGACGCGAUUGAAUUUUAGUACGGCUUUCCAUCCCCAGACUGAUGGUCAAUUAGAAAGGGUUAUUCAGAUUCUGGAGGACAUGUUGAGGGGAUGCAUGAUUGACUUUCAAGGUAGUUGGGAGGAUUACUUGCCGUUGGCAGAAUUUGCAUACAGUAACAGUUACCAGGUGAGUAUUCGAAUGGCACCGUAUGAAGCACUGUAUGGACGAAGGUGUCGUACACCUAGUUGUUGGACCGAACUAGGAGAGCGACAAGUUCUUGGACCAGUGUUGGUAGCUGAUACUGAGGAUAAGGUCAGAAUAAUUAAGGACCGAUUAAAAGAAGCAUCUGAUAGGCAAAAGUCGUAUGCAGAUUUGAAGCGUAAGGAGAUUGAGUACCCAGUAGGUGAUAUGGUCUUCUUAAAGGUUUCUCCUUGGAAGAAGAUAUUAAGGUUCGGUAAGAAGGGCAAGUUGAGUCCGCGGUUCAUUGGGCCUUAUCGCAUUUUGAAGCGAGUAGGCCCAAUGGCUUAUCAGUUGGAAUUGCCUCCAGAGUUAGACAGGAUUCACGAUGUUUUUCACGUCUCCAUGUUAAGGCGUUAUCGUUCUGACCCUGCUCAUGUCCUGCCAGUUGCAGAAAUUGAAGUUCAGACUGAUUUGACCUUUGAGGAGGAGCCUGUGCAAAUAUUGGCUCGAGAUGUUAAGGUUCUCAGAAGGAAAUCUGUCCCGUUAGUGAAAGUGCUUUGGCGUAAUCAUGGAAGGGAAGAAGCUACUUGGGAAUCAGAAGAGACUAUGCGUCAACAAUACCCUCAACUAGUUGGAUCAGGUAAAUUUCGAGGACGAAAUUUCUUUAAGGAGGGUAGAGUUGUAACGCCCCAAUUUUCGGGAAUUAUGUGAAUGUUGGCAUAGGUUUAAUUAUGUUAGUGGGCCUCUAGAAGGCCCAAGCUUAAGAUAGAACCCGACAAUUUUAGUUAAUUUUUGUUCCAUAAUAAAAAUGGGGUGAAAUUAUGAAAAUGUUUGAAAAUGCUAUAGGCUAAAUUGAAGUGGCCAAAUAAAUAGGAGUGCAAAAUAGGAGGAUUUGCAUGACAAACCUCCCAUUUUACAUGAAGUGGCCAGCCACCAUGUUGUUGUAGACAAAAUGUGCACUUGAUAUCCAUAAUUUAUGGUACAAAUUGAUACAAAUUGAUAAUGGGUUAGGUAAAUGUUCCAUGAUAAUGGGUUAGGUAAAUGUUUCAUGAUAAUGGGUUAGGUAAAUGUUCCAUGAUAAUGGGUUAGGUAAAUGUUCCAUGAUGGGAAUUUCAUGUCUUUUGUAUUAAAGAAUUAAAUGGAUGAAAUAUGAAAUUUUAUUUUAAAAAAAAGGGUGAAAAGAACAAAGUUUUGUCCAUCUUUGUUCACCAUAGCGUAAAGUUAGAGAAGAGAAAGGAGAGGAGAAAGCUCUUGAAUGUUCGGUCACUUGGGGAAGAAAAUUGAAGGUAAGUUCAUGGUAGUUUGCUUCUAUCUUGAGGUUCAUGAGUUCUUCUUGAUUCUACCUUAACUCUUGAAGCAUAUUUUGGUUUUUAGUUGUGUUGUGAGCAUUUAGUCAUGAAUUAAAAUGAAGGAAAUGGUUGUUGUUUCAUGUUCUUUUGAUGAAAAAUGGAAGAUAGGUGAAGUUGAGCCAAACAAAUGAGCAUGCAUGUGCCUUAGAUGCUAAAGGGAAAAAUAGGCUAACAUGUUGUGCUUUAAAAUGAUGAAAUGGAGAUUAUACUUAAGUAAAAUCUUAUAUAUGUGAUGACUGAUUGGUGAUAUACAUGUUUAAAUAACAUGCAUGCAAGGUAUGUGUGAAAGAGUGAUUUGGUAAUAAAUAUGCUUGGGACAGCAGCAGUAACGUGACUAUGGAAAAUCACCAUAAAUAGUCAGAGAUGAAUUAGAAGCUGAAUAAAUUAUGUAAUUAAAGCUUAAUGAGUCUAGUUUCAAAUGAAAUAAACGAGAACAUAUUUUGAAUCCUGUACAAUGAGAAAUUUGAUUUGUAAUGAAUAGUGGUCAGAUUAGUCAAACAGUGAAACAUGCGAAACUUUGAGAAAAAUCUGGUAUUGAUUGGAUAAACCAAAAAUUCUGAAACUUUUAUGGAUAGAAUAUAUAUGAGUCUAUUUUCAGGUAAAAUUAACGGCACUUGAUUUGGAGUUUCGUAGCUCCAGUUAUAAAUGAUUUAGUGACUGUUGCUCAGGAAGACAGCUUGCAGUGAAAUUAUGAUUAUGUGGUAAACACUGACAAAAAUUUGUUAAUGAGUUGCUUAUUGAUUUCUUAUAAGCUUACUCUGAUCUGUAGGUGUGGAUGGCAGAAUAUUGUAAGGGGUUAAUACGUAUUUCUUAUUUGAAUAGUUAGAUUAAUGUGUUAGUAAUCCAAUUGUAGGUAGUUCGUGUGUGGAUCUCGUCAGCAUAUCGUCGCAAACAGAUGUGUAACUAACACCCUCUUUCUUAGUCUGGAUCGGCAAAAGUCGAAAAGCCGAAAUGCCGAAAACCGAUAUUUUGUAGAUUUGCGAGUGUUCAAAUGCUCGUGAGGUAAAUCGAUUAAUGUUUUUGGUAAGCUGCAAAAUUUGGACUGCAAAAUUUGGACUGCAAAGUGCAUGAUUUCUGUGCCCUCGAUAUUUUUGGGCUUAAUGGGCCAAAAAUUGGAAUGAUGGGCCAACGGGACCAAUUCGGUAAGAACCCUCAGUAUAUGAUUCUGGUAGUACGUAAGAAGUAGGAAUAUGCAUGAAAAACCCUAAAAUAGAUAAAUUACUGAAAUACCUUUAAAAGUGGAAAAUUUACAGUUUUACCCCUAGUAGAUAAAUUACCGAAAUACCCCUAGGGUUAAAUUGACCUAAAUGCAUGUGUGACUGUUGUUAAUUACUGCAUGCCAUGUUGUUAUUAUCUGAUGCAUGGGAUUGGGAUAUUGACGGAGGAAGUACUAAAAGUGGCUUGUCCACGUACUGGAGGCUUUGCCUCAAUUUACUGUUAACUGAGCAGCAAUGCUGCAACUGUGGAGUGUUGGGCUGGGUGGGUUGAGCUAUUCCCCACAUGGAGUGUAGGGCUGGUACGGGUGGAGUGUAGUGGUUGGUGGGCUGAGUAAUCUCCCCAAAUGGGCUUGAAUAUGUUAUUGAUGUUGCAUGUAUUUUGAAAUGGGCCUAUAGGCCAUACUGUUAUCUGAAUAAGGGGCUAAGGCCCAGUUUAUUGUAAUCUGAAAAGGGCUCUGGUCCAGUACCACUGUUACCUGAAUGGGCUUAGGCCCAAUAGGCUUGAGCUGACUUGGGCUUUGAAUGGGUUUUCCUUACACACUGAGUUUCCCCAAACUCACCCCUUUUAUUUUCAUCCACGCAGGAAAUCCCCAACCGUAGUGGGCUUGGAGCUGUGAGGGAAUUCGGAGUGGCCACCCGUUCUGAAAGUUUGGUUUUCUUCUGGUGAACUGGACAUCCUUUUAUUUACGUUUGAAGUUUUGGGAUUUUAAAUGUAAUAAGGCCGCUUAAUUAUUUUUGAUGGUUUUAAUAUGUAUUGCUAAGAUAGGUAUUACUUAUUUUAACUGUUGAAAUUGGAUAGCUUUAGGGCGCGUUUUCAAAAAUAACAAUUGAUUUCAAAAUAAC
rnacentral:lncRNA from 1 species